ACCUAGCUGGCUCAGCUGGUAGAGCAUGGGACUCUUGAUCUUGGGAUGAUGAGUUUGAGCCCCAUGGUGGGUG
rfam:Ailuropoda melanoleuca scaffold2264_13, whole genome shotgun sequence.